rnacentral:rRNA from 1 species
ACGGCCCUACGGGGCGCAGCAGUGGGGAAUAUUGCACAAUGGGGGAAACCCUGAUGCAGCGACGCCGCGUGAGUGAAGAAGUAUUUCGGUAUGUAAAGCUCUAUCAGCAGGGAAGAAAAUGACGGUACCUGACUAGGAAGCCCCGGCUAACUACGUGCCAGCAGCCGCGGUAAUACGUAGGGGGCAAGCGUUAUCCGGAUUUACUGGGUGUAAAGGGAGCGUAGACGGCAGCGCAAGUCUGAAGUGAAAUCCCAUGGCUUAACCAUGGAACUGCUUUGGAAACUGUGCAGCUGGAGUGCCGGAGG